AUCCUUUUCCAGAUCAUAAUCAUGAAGAUUGGAUGUUCAUACAUUUGUGUGACAUGCGCUUCCCUUAAAUUUUGUUAUGCACUUGACUCAUUAGGCAUCUGAGG